CCCGGGUCUUGUACACACCGCCCGUCACACCAUGGGAGCGGGAUGUACCAGAAGUAGGUAGGCUAACCCGCAAGGGGGCCGCUUACCACGGUGCGUUUCGUGACUGGGGUG
rnacentral:rRNA from 1 species